rnacentral:lncRNA from 1 species
UGUUAAUUGUGUGACAUGUGUUAGACUGGGUUUCAUUUGUGAGUGAUAACACAUACCUAAGUGUUAAGUGUACUCAUGUCUUCAUGUUUAGUGUAUGUGUGUAUCUAGGCUCACACGGGUACCUAUGUGUAAACAUGUUUGUCUCUGAAGGUAUGCCUGCUGACCAUGAUGUGUCUUUAUGCGAGUGGUCUCUACGUGUAGUCUGUCAGUGUCUUCACACUUGAGGCUCUGCAUGAGUGUGCCUUCCGCCAACUCUCUCUUGCCCAUCCGUCCCUUAGUCUCUUGCUAGCUGAGCACUGUUAUGCAUCCUGUGCCUCCUCUGUUUACCUUCUCUCAGCAAACACGUUUCUAAGCACGUGUCCCUCUGCUCUUAAGACUGGCCACUUUUGCUCCAUAGUUCUUUUUUUACACAAACGUGUUUUCUUCCUCCAACUCUCUACCUCAAACUUCCUCUGCCUACUCUCAUCAUAAUCUCAUUGGUAGCUCACUCGGAGGCUGAGGCUGGUAUUCCUUUAGCCUUGCCCUUCCUAGUUUCUAGUUCUAGCGGAUAAGCCCCAUCUUAGCCCAUGCUGACCUCCACAGUGUAUCACGUUUGUACUACUUCAUGACCCCUAUGCUUAGCCUGGAAUUAUAGGAGGUAGCAAGGGCAUUCAGAAGACUCAGUUGGAUACAGGUGUCUUCGGUGUUUACUGUUUUGUCUUAGUUCCUGAGUUGGGUGGGGUUUGAUAGGGAAGGGGUGGUGUAGUUAGAGAAUGAACUGAGGACCUUUCUGUCUGACUGACUUUAUUUUUCUCUUUGAAACCUACUUGUCAUCUUUUUUAUUCCAAGCUGACCAGUAAGUUGUAUUCGCUGUUCGUGGCUACUAAUAAAUGUGUUACUGUCC